rnacentral:rRNA from 1 species
GAUGAACGCUGGCGGUGUGCCUAAUACAUGCAAGUCGUACGCAUUCUCGUUUCUGAUUGACGGUGCUUGCACCUAAUUGACGAGACAUUGGAAUGAGUGGCGGACGGGUGAGUAACACGUGGGUAACCUGCCCAGAAGCGGGGGAUAACAUUUGGAAACAGAUGCUAAUACCGCAUAAUAGAUAGAACCACAUGGUUCUAUUUUGAAAGAUGGCCUUUGUGCUAUCACUUUUGGAUGGACCCGCGGUGUAUUAGCUAGUUGGUAAGGUAACGGCUUACCAAGGCAAUGAUACAUAGCCGAACUGAGAGGUUGAUCGGCCACAAUGGGACUGAGACACGGCCCAUACUCCUACGGGAGGCAGCAGUAGGGAAUCUUCCACAAUGGGCGCAAGCCUGAUGGAGCAACACCGCGUGAGUGAAGAAGGGUUUCGGCUCGUAAAACUCUGUUGUUAAAGAAGAACGUAUCUAAGAGUAACUGCUUAGGUAGUGACGGUAUUUAACCAGAAAGCCACGGCUAACUACGUGCCAGCCGCCGCCGUAC